GAAGAGAGAUCCCCACCCAAACAAACAGACACAUAACAUACGGAGAAAUACCCGCCCCGUUAAACUAACCAACUUUCCUUCUUCGUCUGCCUGGGAGCACCUCCGAAAGUAAGUCCAGUCAAUAAAUUCCUUGUUCACUCACUAAAAGGAUGCAAGCCUGCCCCUCCCCGCCCGCAGUCUGUACACAGUAGUCCGUCCGCCCGCUGAAUAAUUACUUGCC
rnacentral:rRNA from 1 species